UAUGUGCAAUGUGCCUCCACCCAAGCUAUUUAGAGCCCAAUACUCUAAUCGCUUAAGAAAUACCCUACCCCUGUAGUGGUCGGUAUGUGAUGUAACCAGAUAGGACUAUGCACAUUUACCUAUCGUACCUUUCCUUUGUGAUUUCAGGCUCUUCCACAGAUACGGAGACAGUUCCACCGGAGGGGGAGUAUAUAGAGGAGCACAGGGGUCUGUACAAGGACGUGAUGAUGGAGAAUCACCGGCCCCUCACAUCACUGGAUGGACCCAGUAACAGAGAUACCCCAGAGAGAUGUCCCCGUCCUCUGUAUUCCCAGGAUUGUACAGAGGAGAAUCACAGGAUCCCACAGGAGG